rnacentral:rRNA from 1 species
AACGAACGCUGGCGGCGCGCCUAAUACAUGCAAGUCGAACGAGAAUGUGUAGCAAUACACAUGUACAGUGGCGAACGGGUGAGGAAUACAUGGGUAACCUACCCUCGAGUGGGGAAUAACUAGCCGAAAGGUUAGCUAAUACCGCGUACGCUUCCUGGACUGCGGUUCGGGAAGGAAAGCGAUACCGUGGGUAUCGCGCUCUUGGAUGGGCUCAUGCCCUAUCAGCUUGUUGGUGAGGUAACGGCUCACCAAGGCAUCGACGGGUAGCUGAUCUGAGAGGAUGAUCAGCCACACUGGCACUGCGACACGGGCCAGACUCCUACGGGAGGCAGCAGUAAGGAAUAUUGCGCAAUGGGCGAAAGCCUGACGCAGCGACGCCGCGUGGGGGAUGAAGGUCUUCGGAUUGUAAACCCCUUUCGGGAGGGAAGAUGGAACGAGCAAUCGUUCGGACGGUACCUCCAGAAGCAGCCACGGCUAACUUCGUGCCAGCAGCCGCGGUAAUAC